rnacentral:lncRNA from 1 species
UGUAAUACAGGAAGGCCUGUGGAGAGCUGCGCCCUGUGAGCGUGGUACUCUUUUGCGAUGGCGGAUGGUCGCAUGUGUCGCCAUAAUAGGGUAUUUCUCUUCUCUUGAGGCAGUCUUCUGGUCAAUUCUGCAACAUCAGGGUCCUUAUCAUCACUACAGACAGUCUCCUUCCCCUUUCCAGGCACUUGAGGCUGAACCCUUGGAAAGAAAAACAAGCAGGUUUCAAUAAUCUUAGCCAACUGAGAGGAAAAGAGAAAUACCAUUUCAGACAUGCCAAGGUAACAGAAUACAGGUUACCGAGUAAAUUGAUUCUUGGGGCAAGGGGAUCAUAAGACAUGAUUGGGUAGUUCAAAAUGAUUUAACCAUAAGGUAUUGGCUGAAGUCCUUUUGAUAACAAUUUUUAAUUUAUUAUCUCAUGGUACUAAUUCCCUGUCUGUCACACAGAGGUUUGGUUUUGUUUGUUUGUUUUUUGUUUUUUUGUUUGUUUUUGCAACUUGUCUUUAACAAAAAUGAAGCAUUCUUUAAUUUAUACAUGUUUGGUAGUAUCCAUUAUCCUG